AACAGGGAUUGCCUUAGUAACGGCGAGUGAAGCGGCAACAGCUCAAAUUUGAAAGCUGGCCCUUUUAGGGUCCGCGUUGUAAUUUGUAGAGGAUGAUUCGGCGAGGGCUCCUGCCUAAGUCCCCUGGAACGGGGCGUCAUAGAGGGUGAGAAUCCCGUAUGCGGUAGGUUGCCUUAGCCAUGUGAAUCUCCUUCGACGAGUCGAGUUGUUUGGGAAUGCAGCUCUAAAUGGGAGGUAAAUUUCUUCUAAAGCUAAAUACUGGCCAGAGACCGAUAGCGCACAAGUAGAGUGAUCGAAAGAUGAAAAGCACUUUGGAAAGAGAGUUAAAAAGUACGUGAAAUUGUUGAAAGGGAAGCGCUUGCAACCAGACUUGUCCGCAGUUGCUCAGCCGGUCUCCUGACCGGCGUACUCUUCUGCGGCCAGGCCAGCAUCAGUUCGGGCGGUCGGAUAAAGGCCUCGGGAAUGUAGCUCCUCUCGGGGAGUGUUAUAGCCCGGGGUGGAAUGCGACCAGCCUGGACUGAGGAUCUCGCUUCGGCAAGGAUGCUGGCGUAAUGGUUGUAAGCGGCCCGUCUUGAAACACGGACCAAGGAGUCUAACAUCUAUGCGAGUGUUCGGGUGUCAAACCCGUACGCGUAAUGAAAGUGAACGGAGGUGGGAACCCGCAAGGGUGCACCAUCGGCCGAUCCUGAUGUCUUCGGAUGGAUUUGAGCAAGAGCAUAGCUGUUGGGACCCGAAAGAUGGUGAACUAUGCCUGAAUAGGGUGAAGCCAGAGGAAACUCUGGUGGAGGCUCGCAGCGGUUCUGACGUGCAAAUCGAUCGUCAAAUUUGGGUAUAGGGGCGAAAGACUAAUCGAACCAU
rnacentral:rRNA from 1 species